rnacentral:lncRNA from 12 species
AUGCUGGGGGGAGGGGGUGGUGGUGCCCAGGGGGAGGUAAUUAGGAGCAAUGAGCUGAAACUGCGGAAAAGAAAAUAUAAGCUGCGCAGCACAAAAGUCUUCCUGAUAGUGAUGUCUAUUAGCCCAUGGCAUCCUCUCCUGAGGGAAGUUUCGAAAGACCCAUUACUGGAGGCAUCUGAGGGGGCGCAGGUAACCCCCCAGGGCAGAGGGGAGUGGGCUCCCAGGAAUGGCAUUGCUCCUUCACAGGGCUGGGGCCCUACCAGAGCUGGCCUGAGGCAGAUUGCUUGGGCUACCACCUCUCCCCCCACAACCCCUUCAGUUCUGUUGGAAGAGCCACAAGCUCUUUCAGCAGGAUCAUUUCACCUUGGAGUGACUUUUUGCCUCUGCAAAAGGUACUCUUGAUCUUAUCUGUUGGACCUAAAGAGAGCAUAGGAGUUAGAGUCCUUGUUGCCAUUCUGUUCCACCAUGAAGUUGAGAGAUGAGAAAAACAGUCCUGAUGACAUUAGUUGAGUUCAGAAUUCAGCCAUUUCUGAAGCUAAGUAUGCCUUUAGACUUUUCAUCCUAAGUGAAACAAUAGAUUCUCUUUCUGCCUAGCUAGUUUGGGUUCAGUUUUAUGCUACUUGCAAUGGUAAAUGAACCACAUUUCAUUUUAUUAUCAUAUUUUUAGUUUUGAUUGAUUUUAGAAGCCCACAGAUCACCUCUAUAACUCACUUUAGAUCCCAGGAGCUAGAGAGGACUUUAGAAAGUAUUAAUUUACUACAGGGAGAGUAGUUAGGUUAUAAUGUCACAACAUUAAUUAUUUUAGGCACUUUUCAUUACUUAUUUCCAUUGUCUAGUUUUUGGAAACAUAAUUUGAUGUGAUACUUGACUCUAGGAAGUCUUUAAAACGUUCAAAAUGCAAACAGCUUAUAUUUUCCUUCUGAUUAGCUAGAGAAGAAUGAAUCUUGUUCUUAAGGUUAUAAUUAUCAAAAUAACCUCAAGGAAACAACAAACUCUUUGAGGGAAGUUACUUUAGCUACUUAUCAAGAUAAAAGACUAGAGAUAUUUUUUACUGGGAAUUCUGGUGGAAGUUAAAUAUAACCAGAGGGUGAUGAGAUUUGGAUGAGCAAGAAUAAGGGAGAAGAGCCUUUUGGUAAUGGGGAAAGAAGUUGGCAGAGGAAGAGUGAGCCACAUUCAUAGCUGCUGAGAUGCAGAUGUACACAGAAACAGGUGUUCUCCCUUCCAUUUUGUAGAAGUAGCUGUCCUGCCAGAGACUGUUUCCCAGCAUUCUCUGCAUCUAGAUACUAUCAUGUGGUUAGUUUUCACCAAUGAAACAUUGAAUUGAAGUGAUAUGGGACACUUCUAUGACAACGCUUUUAAAAAGUAGACUGAUCAGCUGAACAAAUCUUUUUCUAGAUACAUCUCCUUUGACAAGGGAAACAAAAAGCAAAAGCAACCUAUCAGGACUAUACCAAAAAAACAAAACAAAACAAAACUUUUUGUACAGCAAAGGAAACCAUCAACAAAACAAAAAGACAACACUGAAUGGGAGAAGAUAUUUGCAAAUGAUAUAUCCAAUAAACAGUUAAUAUCUGAAAUAUAUGAAUAAAUU